rnacentral:rRNA from 1 species
UACGUAGGGUGCAAGCGUUGUCCGGAAUUAUUGGGCGUAAAGAGCUCGUAGGCGGUCUGUUGCGUCGGCUGUGAAAACCCGGGGCUCAACUCCGGGCCUGCAGCCGAUACGGGCAGACUAGAGUUCGGCAGGGGAGACUGGAAUUCCUGGUGUAGCGGUGAAAUGCGCAGAUAUCAGGAGGAACACCGGUGGCGAAGGCGGUUCUCUGGGCCUUACCUGACGCUGAGGAGCGAAAGCGUGGGGAGCGAACAGG